UUGUAGUCAUAGUUCGGG
rnacentral:siRNA from 1 species